rnacentral:rRNA from 1 species
GGCUUGUUGAUUUUAAUUUCAAGUCUUACCUGCCCAAUGAGGAGUUGAAUGGCCGCAGUAUACUGACUGUGCAAAGGUAGCAUAAUCACUAGUUUCUUAAUUGGAAGCUUGCAUGAAAGGUUUGAUGAGAGAAUAACUGUCUCUAUUAAAAUUUUAUAGAAUUUUAUUUUUAAGUAAAAAAGCUUAAAUAUGUAUAGAAGACGAGAAGACCCUAUAGAGUUUUAUAUUUUUGUGAAAUAUUUUAUUUUAGGAUUAUAAGAGGAUUUUUUAUAUAAAUAUUUUGUUGGGGUGAUAGAAAAAUUAGUUAAACUUUUUUUGCAUAAGAACAUUGAUUGAUGAGAAAAUGAUCCUAAAUUUUAGAUUAUAAGAUUAAAUUACCUUAGGGAUAACAGCGUAAUUUUUUUUAGAGUUCUUAUCGAAAAAAAAGGUUGCGACCUCGAUGUUGGAUUAAAAUUUAUAAUUGGUGAAGAAGCUGAUUUAUUAGGUCUGUUCGACCUUUAAAAUUUUACAUGAUCUGAGUUUAAACCGGCGUGAG